GGAGGGAAGGACAAGGCGAAGGGCUCUGCGGUCUCCUUCAAGGAGGGCGAGGAGGUGCUCGCCUACCACGGCCCGCCCCUCUAUGAGGCCAAGCCUGUCGUCUUCCUCCACGGGGGUCCUGGGAUGGCACUUCGCCCGACAACUGUGGGUUCUUCGAUCCGGAGUUCUACAUGAUCGUGUUGUUCGACCAGGUUGUUUUCGUUUUGAUCCCCUUGUGUGUCUGUUCACCGGUGUUCCUAGGAGAUCACGGUGCUUAAUCCGCUUGUGUUUGAUUGCAGAAAGGCGCUGGAAGAGCACUUCCCAUGCUUUGUCUAGAGGAGAACACCACCUGGGACUUGGUGGCUGACAUUGAGAAGGCACCAAUUGGCCAAUGAGAUGAAGGAGCUGAAGGAGAUCCACAUGGAGGACACCGAAGAGGAGGAAAUGCAUGACAUCGACAGCUGCGACUUCGGCAACUCCCUUGCGGUUGUUGAAUAUGUGGAUGGAAUUUACAGCUUCUACAGAAGGACCGAGGUCCACUAUAAGUUUGAGCUACUGGGUGAAAUUUUAUUCCUUACUAUCAACAUCAUUGAUAGAUACCUGGCCCGGGAAAAUGUCGCUAGGAAGAAGCUGCUAUUGUUGCUGUUGCAGGUUUAUGGCACUUGCAGGGACAACACAAAUUCCAUCUGUUUUUUUGUCCUAGUAUUUUAGGAAAUCGAUUUGGUCCAACUUGUUUUUGCCCUUGAUCAGUAUCAUUUGUGGUAGCUCCUAAGCAACAUGAUCUUUUUCUUGCUCCGAGAUCCCAAGUGUGGUGUUGUACUUUUGUUGUGCUUGAUUGAUGUCCUGCUAGCUGCUACUGUUAAUUGUUACUGUCAUGAUGUUAACACUGCUUAGAAUAUGUUAUGCACCUUAAUUCUAGUAGUAUUUGUUGUCAAAAGCAUGAUUGUAUUGUGAGCCAUCAAUUUCUUGGAGUCUUCUUAGAGCUUGCUGGUAUUUACUUUUUUCCACCAAUAUAAUAUUUGCUAAUAUUUACUCAUGGUUGCUACUGUUAUCCGUGCCCUCAUGCAUUAGGAUCGACCCCUAGCUGCUUGUGUAUUUGUUUAUUAUUCUGUUCAAUACUCUUUUCCUAGCUGUUGUAUGUUUGAGGAUAUUGCUUUCAUUCUGAAUUCACAGCCAUGAAAAUGAUCGUUUCCUGUCUUUUACAGGAGCUCCAGGCUCAAGAAGUUGGAAAAAGGGAACACUUCAUCUUUGUAGCUAAUUAUAUGUUCCUAGAUGAUGUGAAUGGCUGUUAUAGUAUUUCAUAGCAGCACUUUUGUAGUUGUUCUAAAUUCCUGGAUGAUGUGAACUAUGGCAUGAUUGUAAUAUAUAUAAUAUACUCAU